rnacentral:rRNA from 1 species
CAAGACCUAUCGUUUUCGGAGUGGCCGAUAUCAGAUUAGCUAGUUGGUGGGGUAAAGGCCUACCAAGGCGACGAUCUGUAGCUGGUCUGAGAGGACGACCAGCCACACUGGGACUGAGACACGGCCCAGACUCCUACGGGAGGCAGCAGUGGGGAAUUUUGGACAAUGGGGGCAACCCUGAUCCAGCCAUGCCGCGUGAGUGAAGAAGGCCUUCGGGUUGUAAAGCUCUUUCGGACGGAAAGAAAUCGCGCCAGCUAAUAUCUGGUGUGGAUGACGGUACCGUAAGAAGAAGCACCGGCUAACUACGUGCCAGCAGCCGCGGUAAUACGUAGGGUGCGAGCGUUAAUCGGAAUUACUGGGCGUAAAGCGUGCGCAGGCGGUUUUGUAAGACAGACGUGAAAUCCCCGGGCUUAACCUGGGAACU